GACGUAGGGGACGAGCGUUGUCCGGAUUCAUUGGGCGUAAAGCGCGCGUAGGCGGCCACGCAAGUCGGGUGUGAAAUCCCGGAGCUCAACUCCGGAACUGCACUCGAAACUGCGCGGCUUGAGGUAGGUAGGGGAGAUCGGAAUUCCUGGUGUAGCAGUGAAAUGCGUAGAUAUCAGGAGGAACACCGAUGGCGAAGGCAGGUCUCUGGGCUGACACUGACGCUCAUGCACGAAAGCGUGGGGAGCAAACAGG
rnacentral:rRNA from 1 species